ncrna:Eptesicus fuscus (big brown bat) microRNA efu-mir-660 precursor
CCUUCUCCCAUACCCAUUGCAUAUCGGAGUUGUGAAUUCUCAAAGCACCUCCUGUGUGCAUGGAUUACAGGAGGGUGA